rnacentral:rRNA from 1 species
GACGAAGGGGGCGAGCGUUACCCGGAAUGACUGGGCGUAAAGGGUCCGUAGGCAGCUUUUUUCGUUAAGGGUAAAACUAAAAAGCUCAACUUUUUAGUGCCUUUAAUACUUAAAUGCUUAGAGUUUGAAAGAAGAUAGCAGAAUUUCACAUGGAGGGGUGAUAUCCGUAGAUAUGUGAAGGAAUACCAGAGGCGAAGGCGGCUAUCUAGGUCAAUACUGACGCUGAGGGACGAAAGCAUGGGGAGCAAACAGG